rnacentral:rRNA from 1 species
ACGCACGCUGGCGGCAGGCCUAACACAUGCAAGUCGCGCGAGGACUUCGGUCCUAGCGGCGGACGGGUGAGUAACGCGUGGGAACGUGCCCUUUGCUUCGGAAUAGCCCUGGGAAACUGGGAGUAAUACCGGAUGAGCCCUUUGGGGGAAAGAUUUAUCGGCGAAGGAUCGGCCCGCGUUGGAUUAGGUAGUUGGUGGGGUAAUGGCCUACCAAGCCGACGAUCCAUAGCUGGUUUGAGAGGAUGAUCAGCCACACUGGGACUGAGACACGGCCCAGACUCCUACGGGAGGCAGCAGUGGGGAAUCUUAGACAAUGGGGGAAACCCUGAUCUAGCCAUGCCGCGUGAGCGAUGAAGGCCUUAGGGUUGUAAAGCUCUUUCAGCUGGGAAGAUAAUGACGGUACCAGCAGAAGAAGCCCCGGCUAACUCCGUG